UACGUAGGGGGCAAGCGUUGUCCGGAUUUAUUGGGCGUAAAGAGCGUGUAGGCGGUUCGGUAGGUCCGUUGUGAAAACUCGAGGCUCAACCUCGAGACGCCGAUGGAAACCAUCGAACUAGAGUCCGGAAGAGGAGAGUGGAAUUCCUGGUGUAGCGGUGAAAUGCGCAGAUAUCAGGAAGAACACCCAUGGCUAAGGCGGCUCUCUAGUACGGUACUGACGCUGAGACGCGAAAGCGUGGGGAGCGAACAGG
rnacentral:rRNA from 1 species